rnacentral:rRNA from 1 species
GAGUUUGAUCUUGGCUCAGAACGAACGCUGGCGGCAUGCCUAACACAUGCAAGUCGAACGAGACCUUCGGGUCUAGUGGCGCACGGGUGCGUAACGCGUGGGAAUCUGCCCUUGGGUUCGGAAUAACAGUUAGAAAUGACUGCUAAUACCGGAUGAUGUCUUCGGACCAAAGAUUUAUCGCCCAGGGAUGAGCCCGCGUAGGAUUAGCUUGUUGGUGAGGUAAGAGCUCACCAAGGCGACGAUCCUUAGCUGGUCUGAGAGGAUGAUCAGCCACACUGGGACUGAGACACGGCCCAGACUCCUACGGGAGGCAGCAGUGGGGAAUAUUGGACAAUGGGCGAAAGCCUGAUCCAGCAAUGCCGCGUGAGUGAUGAAGGCCUUAGGGUUGUAAAGCUCUUUUACCCGGGAUGAUAACGACAGUACCGGGAGAAUAAGCACCGGCUAACUUCGUGCCAGCAGCCGCCGU